CCUCCCCUUGUAUGGGAGCUCUGUUUUCACUCUAUUUCACUCUAUUAAAUCUUGCAACUGCAAGCUUCUGGUCCGUGUUCGUUACGGCUCGAGCAGAGCUUUUGCUUGCUGGGCACCACUGCUGUUUUGCCACCAUCGCAGACCCACCGCUGACUUCCAUUCUUCCAGAUCUGGCAGGGUGUCCGCUGUGCUCCUGAUCCAGCAAGGCACCCAUUGCCACUCCCAACUGGGCUAAAGGCUUGCCAUUGUUCCCACAUGGCUAAGUGCCUGGGUUCAUCCUAAUCGAGCUGAACACUAGUCACUGGGUUCCACCAUUCUCUUCCGUGACCCACGGCUUCUAAUAGAGCUAUAACACUCACCACAUGGACCAAGAUUCCAUUCCUUGGAAUCUGUGAAGCCAAGAAUCCCAGGUCCGAGAACACGAGGCUUGCCACCAUCUUGGAAGCAGCCCACCACCAUCUUGGAAGGGGCUCGCCAUCAUCUUGGAAGCUCUAUGAGCAAGGACCCCCGGUAAUAUUUUGGUGACCACGAAGGGACAUCCAAAGUGUUUUUCUCUUCCAGAAUCAAAGCUGUAAAACUACAAAUCAUUCUUCAAAUGGAGCCCCAGAUGCAGUCCAUGACUAAGAUCUACCACGGACCCCUGGACCGGCCUACUAGCCCAAGCUCCAAUGUUAAUGACAUCGAAGUCACCCCUCCCAAGGAAAUCUCAACUGCAUGACCCCUACUAUGCCCCAAUUCAGCAGGAAGCAGUUGCAGCAGUUGUCGGCCAACCUCCCCGACAGCACUUGGAUUUUCCUGUUGAGAGGGGGGACUGAGAGACAGGACUAGUUGGAUUUCCUAGGCCAACUAAGAAUCCCUAAGCCUAGGUGGGAAGGUGACCACUUUCAUGCGCGUCCAUGUGAAGAGACCACCAAACAGGCUUUGUGUGAGCCACAAGGCUGUUUAUUCACCUGGGUGCAGGCAGGCUGAGUCCAAAAAGAGAGUCAGUGAAGGGAGAUGGGCUGGGGCCGUUUUAUAGGAUUUGGGAAGGUAAUGGAAAAUUACAGUCAAAGGGGGUUGUUUUCUGAUGGGCAGGGGUGGGGGUCACAAGGUGCUCAGUGGGGGAGCUUCUGAGCCAGGAGAAGGAAAUUCACAGGUUUAGUCACUCAGUUAAGGUGGGGCAGGAACAAAUCACAAUGGUGGAAUGUCAUCAGUUAAGGCGGGACGGGGCCUUUUCACUUCUUUUGUGAUUCUUCAGUUACUUCAGGCCAUCUGGACGUAUACGUGCAAGUCACAGGGGAUGCGAUGGUUUGGCUUGGGCUCAGAGGCCUGACAUUCCUGCCUUCUUAUAUUAAUAAGAAAAAGAAAACAAAAUAGUGUUGAAGUGUUGGGGCGGCGAAAAUUUUUGGGGGUGGUAUGGAGAGAGAAUGGACGAUGUUUCUCAGGGCUGCUUCAAGCAGGAUUAGGGGCGGUGUGGAAACCUAGAGUGGGAGAGAUUAAGCUAAAGGAAGAUCUUGUGGUAAGGGGUGAUAUUGUGGGGUUAUCAGAAGAAACAUUUGUCGUAUAGAAUGACUGGUGAUGGCCUGGAUACAGUUUUGUAUGAAUUGAAAAACUGGAAUAAGAGAAGGAGAAAAACAGGUAUAAAAGGUCUAAGAAUUGGGAGGACCUAGGACAUCUGAUUAGAGAGUGCCUAAGGAGAUUCAGCAUAGUCCUGCCAGCAAAGAUUAUUUAUUUACUUCAAGAGUUUAGAGUGGCAGUUUGGGGAUAGCACCAGGAGAUAUCAGCUGUGAUGGCUUGGAGAAACAGUGUAAACCAGCAGUGUAAAUAAGAGCAGGGCAUGUAUGAGUAGUUGAGAAUGGUGAAUAGGAGUAUGACUAGACAAAAGAUAGUAGGGAUGACAAGUUUUUUUGAGGGACAGUCUAAGUUGGUCUGGUGUUGAAUGAGACUGGGGCCUAAUAAAAAGGAGUGUCUUCUAGGGUUUUUAUGGUUUUAGGUCUAACGUUUAAGUCUUUAAUCCAUCUUGAAUUGAUUUUUGUAUAAGGUGUAAGGAAGGGAUCCAGUUUCAGCUUUCUACAUAUGGCUAGCCAGGCAUUACCAUUCAGGACAUAGGCAUGGGCAAGGACUUC
rnacentral:lncRNA from 10 species